rnacentral:rRNA from 1 species
GACGUAGGACGCAAGCGUUAUCCGGAGUUACUGGGCGUAAAGGGCGGGCAGGCGGCUUGUCAAGUGGGAUGUCAAAGCGCACAGCUUAACUGAGCGAGGCCAUUCCAAACUGAUGAGCUGGAGGGCAGUAGAGGUAGGCGGAAUUCCGGGUGGAGUGGUGAAAUGCGUAGAGAUCCGGAGGAACACCAGAGGCGAAGGCGGCCUACUGGGCGUGCACCUGACGCUGAGCCGCGAAAGCCAGGGGAGCGAACGGG